CAGUGUUACGGCCGUUUUAGAAUUUGUCUAGCAGGUUUUCUGGUUUUUAUGAGACUCCCCC
ensembl:snRNA U7 U7 small nuclear RNA